rnacentral:snRNA from 2 species
GUCCCUGCUGGGACAUCCGAUAAAAUUGGAACGGUACAGAGAAGAUUGGCAUGACCACUGUGCAAGGAUGACAAAUUACUAAUCUGAUUUUAU